CAAUAGCGUAUAUUGAAGUUGUUGCGGUUAAAAAGCUCGUCGUUGGAUUUCUGUUGAGGUCGAACAGUGCCGCCCUAUGGGUGCGCAACUGGCUCGGCUUCGGCAUCUUCUUGGAGAGCGCAUCUGCACUUAACUGUGUGGAUCGUACUUCAAGUCAGUUACUUUGAGGAAUUGUGAGUGUUUCAAGCAGGCUUACGCCGUUGAAUCCAUUAGCAUGGAAUAAUGGAAUAGGACUACGGUCUCUUUGUUGGUUUGAGGGACUGCAGUAAUGAUUAAUAGGGAUAGUUGGGGGCAUUAGUACUUAACUGUCAGAGGUGGAAUUCUCAGAUUUGUUAAAGACUGACUUAUGCGAAAGCAUUUGCCAAGGAUGUUUUCAUUAAUCAAGAACGAAAGUUAGGGGAUCAAAGAUGAUUAGAUACCAU
rnacentral:rRNA from 1 species